GUGGCUUAAUAGUGUGGAUCGGAAUAGGGAAAAGGGAAGGCGUAGAAGAAGGUGUGUGUGUAGAGAGAGAGAGUCGCGGGUGCCGUCGAGGGUUAGGAGAUGGAGCGGGACGCGAUCUUGUGGAGACGAGGAGGGACGGGGAACGAAGUGUGUGGUACGCCGGUGGCCGAGCUAUCGCCGGCAGCGACGCCACUUAUCCAUUUUUUUUCGACGUUCGACACUACACAGCAACGGCGGUAACCGGCCUCGCCUUCGUGGCUGUCCUUCCUAAUGGGCAGCACGCACGAUGUUACCGCCGUCGUUGGACACGAUGUACCCGGUACCUUUUCGACGUUAGCCGGCCGCUUUUUCGGUGUUGGCCGAGUGUAUUCGAUGUUACCCCACACAACAUUACAACCUUGGCUGCAGUUCUAAACAACCUUAGCCGAAGAGCUAAACGACCUUGGCCGUUAGUGUGAACGACCUUAGAUACAGUGCUCGCAUAGUAAAACGACGUUGGUCGGCGUCUCUAACGACCUUGGCCGUAGAUCUUAACGACCUUGCCCGAAGAAGAAGAAGUUGCUGCGGAUACCACUGGUGCUUCUGCCGCUCACGCCCUUCGGUUGCGCUCGCGCCCGCCACGAAGUUAGAGGCUGCUUCCCUAAUGCUGCUCCCAGCGCCCGCAAGCGGCGUCGGAGAGAGAGAGAGGCCGCGCGCCGCCGACGAGGGCUACGCCCUCUUCUUUCUUAGUUCCUCCUUCUUCCUCCCUUGCUGCGCGAACUCCCCGACUUAGUACUCCCCGCCUUACGUGCGUAGCACACCGACGGCACGCAGACCAGGUUUAAACCCGGUCGCGCGGCCGCGGAUAGUCACAAGCAUGGCCUUCCAGUUACCUCUACGAGCCAUAUACAAGUUUCGCGGACACACCUCCUCCACGUGUGACGGUACCCCGUAAAACUAAAGUGACAGUGGCAAAGUCAGGUACAUCAAGGAGGGGUAAGGGGUCACGGAGGAAAAGGAUUUCUGUAUAUGCUACACCAUUACGAACCGGAUGCAGUUCAUAUUUACUAACAUAUGAACACAUUUAAGACAAAGAGAAAGUAAAACAACGGUAGUAUCGAUUGAACACUCGAAAUACACAUCUGAUAUAUAUCAGUGUGUAACGUCCUCAUACCAUCCUCUCGAGGUUAACUACAUAAAUAAAUGAUCACACCAUAUGCACC
rnacentral:rRNA from 1 species